GUGGAGUCCAAAAUGAAUCUGACUUUUAAUCCUCAUUUAUCUGACUUUGAACGAGAACUGAAAGAAUCUGCAACUCUGCCGUACACCUUCAGUGACAGCAAGAAGUCAUCACUCCUACGUGCCUCAACUGCCACUGCAAAAAUAUUUUAUGAUCCCGACCCAGCUGAUGAUUUUGAUGAUGAGGAUCCAGAUGAGGACCUUGAUGUGUGAUUAAAUGCAUUAAAUUCAGAAACUGUUUGAGUAUGUCACCUCCCUCUGAUUCUCUACAAAGUUAUUUUGUCCACAAACAUUCUUCAUCUGAUCAGCUCAGUCGAUGAGUCACAUAGGAAUCCUAAAAAAUAGCAGGAUUAUCAAUGCAUCUCUCACUUGGUAUAGGUUAUCUUAGCGCUGGUGAUUUCACUGUUUUUUAUAUUGCACUUCUAAAAGUAUUUAAUUGCUGUGUCCAUGAAUAAAUGAUUUGUCUAUACCACU